rnacentral:rRNA from 1 species
GGGGGAUAUUGCACAAUGGGGGAAACCCUGAUGCAGCGACGCCGCGUGGAGAAAGAAGGUUUUCGGAUUGUAAACUCCUGUCGUUAGGGACGAUAAUGACGGUACCUAACAAGAAAGCACCGGCUAACUACGUGCCAGCAGCCGCGGUAAAACGUAGGGUGCAAGCGUUGUCCGGAAUUACUGGGUGUAAAGGGAGCGCAGGCGGACCGGCAAGUUGGAAGUGAAAACUAUGGGCUCAACCCAUAAAUUGCUUUCAAAACUGCUGGCCUUGAGUAGUGCAGAGGUAGGUGGAAUUCCCGGUGUAGCGGUGGAAUGCGUAGAUAUCGGGAGGAACACCAGUGGCGAAGGCGACCUACUGGGCACCAACUGACGCUGAGGCUCGAAAGCAUGGGUAGCAAACAGGAUUAGAUACCCUGGUAGUCCAUGCCGUAAACGAUGAUUACUAGGUGUUGGAGGAUUGACCCCUUCAGUGCCGCAGUUAACACAAUAAGUAAUCCACCUGGGGAGUACGACCGCAAGGUUGAAACUCAAAGGAAUUGACGGGGGCCCGCACAAGCAGUGGAGUAUGUGGUUUAAUUCGAAGCAACGCGAAGAACCUUACCAGGUCUUGACAUCCGAUGAAUAGCUUAGAGAUAAGUGAAGUCCUUCGGGACAUCGAGACAGGUGGUGCAUGGUUGUCGUCAGCUCGUGUCGUGAGAUGUUGGGUUAAGUCCCGCAACGAGCGCAACCCUUAUUGCCAGUUACUACGAAAGAGGACUCUGGCGAGACUGCCGUUGACAAAACGGAGGAAGGUGGGGAUGACGUCAAAUCAUCAUGCCCUUUAUGACCUGGGCUACACACGUACUACAAUGGCGUUUAACAAAGAGAAGCAAGACCGCGAGGUGGAGCAAAACUCAAAAACAACGUCUCAGUUCAGAUUGCAGGCUGCAACUCGCCUGCAUGAAGUCGGAAUUGCUAGUAAUCGCGGAUCAGCAUGCCGCGGUGAAUACGUUCCCG